AGUAAAGCUUUGAAGAGAACUAGUAGAUUUGCCACUGUCUUUUACAGAGAACUCCUGUAAGCUGAGAGGGAGAAAAGAAGGGUAUUUUGAAUACAUCUCUGAGCUUCGCACCAAACCCUUGUUAAAAAGGUAGUAGGCUGUUGACGGAUUUCUGCACACGUUAUAGUGCUAGAGUAUAAGCAAUUAUUUGCCGUACUUGAAGAGGUUAAUAUGGUGACAUAUUAAUGAACUAAGGUGGUAACACGAGAUAUACUCUCGUCCUUUAU
rfam:Clostridium tetanomorphum DSM 665 contig167, whole genome shotgun sequence.